UAGCGUAGGGGGCAAGGCGUUUGUUCCGGGAUUUAUUGGGACGUAAAGAGCGUGUUAGGCGGUUUGGUAGGUCCGCUGAUGAAAACUCGAGGCUCCAACCUCGAGACGCCGGUGGAAACCAUCAGGCUAGAGUCCGGAAGAGGAGAGUGGAAUUCCUGGUGUAGCGGUGAAAUGCGCAGAUAUCAGGAGGAACACCAAUUGCGAAGGCAGCUCGCUGGGACGUUACUGACGCUGAGACGCGAAAGCGUGGGGAGCAAACAGG
rnacentral:rRNA from 1 species